UACGGAGGAUGCGAGCGUUAUCCGGAUUUAUUGGGUUUAAAGGGUGCGUAGGCGGUUUUAUAAGUUAGAGGUGAAAUCUCGGGGCUCAACUCCGAAAUUGCCUCUAAUACUGUAGGACUAGAGAGUAGUUGCGGUAGGCGGAAUGUAUGGUGUAGCGGUGAAAUGCUUAGAUAUCACGAAGAACCCCGAUUGCGAAGGCAGCCUGCCGCAGCGUUACUGACGCUGAAGCUCGAAAGCGCGGGUAUCGAACAGG
rnacentral:rRNA from 1 species